GAUGAACGCUGGCGGCGUGCUUAACACAUGCAAGUCGAACGGUAAGGCCCUUCGGGGUACACGAGUGGCGAACGGGUGAGUAACACGUGGGUGAUCUGCCCUGCACUUCGGGAUAAGCCUGGGAAACUGGGUCUAAUACCGGAUAGGACCACUGCCUGCAUGGGUGGUGGUGGAAAGCUUUUGGGGGGUGGGAUGGGCCCGCGGCCUAUCAGCUUGUUGGUGGGGUGAUGGCCUACCAAGGCGACGACGGGUAGCCGGCCUGAGAGGGGGACCGGCCACACUGGGACUGAGAUACGGCCCAGAUUCCUACGGGAGGCAGCAGUGGGGAAUAGUGCACAAUGGGCGCAAGCCUGAUGCAGCGACGCCGCGUGAGGGAUGACGGCCUUCGGGUUGUAAACCUCUUUCAGCACCGACGAAGCGCAAGUGACGGUAGGUGCAGAAGAAGGACCGGCCAACUACGUGCCAGCCGCCGCGGUAA
rnacentral:rRNA from 1 species